ensembl:lncRNA
GAUUCUACUGUUUAGAUCAGCCAUGAUUUGCUCCAGCUUUUGUUUCACUUUUCUGUCAAAGACCUCACAAAAGCUUUCUUAGUUUACUUUUUUUUUCCCCUGAAGCUUCUAUUGCUCUGUACAUUUUGGAUUCAGAAAAUUACUUUGAGCAGUUGGUAUAAUUACACUGGUUCAAUCUUGCAUGAUUCUUCUUGAUUGUACAUGUGGAUGACUGAAUCUGCAACACUUUCAAGCUGUGUUUUUCAAGGACGGAGCCAUAAUGCAUAUUUACACAUUGAUUGCAACUUACUUCAGUGACAAAAGAUUAUUUACACAGGAGAACAGACUUUGACCUUUUCAGGGAACUGUUUGGCGGUGACAUGAGAUAAAGCCCUGGAGAGAAGAGGGGCCCAAGAAAGCUGGUCAGUAUUCAAGGGCAAUCUCUUUCAAGCCCAGGAACAGUGCAUCCCAAGAAAGAGGAAGGCAAGCAAGAAUGCUCAAAGGCCUCCACAAAUGGACAAGCAGCUUCAAGACUCACUUUGGUGCAAAAAGAAAGCAAGAAUGAGUUAUGUGGGAGGACUACAAUGAAGUUGUCUGAGCAGCCAGGGAUCAAGUUAGGACAGCUAAAACUUAGAUAGUUUUCGUAUCCUUAAGCAGAUCAUCACUUCUGCCCAAACCAGUGUCAUUUACAGACUGGGGGUGUACUCAAUCCCCUCAUUAAGAUUGUUAAUUAAAAGUUUAAAAUAACUGGCCCCAGUACUGAACCCUGGAGAGUGGCCCCAACAAGAUUUAACUAUUCACAACAGCCUUUUUAGCCCAGUCAUCCAGCCAUUUUUUUAUCCAGUACACAACACAUCCAUCAAAGCCAUGAGCAACCAGUUGCUACAGGAGAAUGCUGAGGGAAACAGUUUCACAUGAAUCGCUGAAGUAUAAGUAAUGAUUAAAAAAAAAAGUUAAUGGAAUCAUUUAAAGCACUUUUUUCCACCUUUUUGCUAUUUUUCCCCAUUCUUCUCUAUUCUUAAAAAUCAAUUUUAAAAACACUGUUAAUUUGAUCUAUUUUCCCUUGCCUCUAGUUCAUAACCACAAUUAUGGGUUUUGUAUCACUGGGAAGAAGUAAUCAAAAUGAUAACAAUGUUGGGAGUUGAGGUGAAAUUAGGAAGGUAUGAUACAAAUUCAUCCCUUUGUGCUACAUGAAGCAUAAAAUGAAAGCAUACUUCAUUUCAGGGAACUGGCUUUGAAGCACAUUUGAGAAUAGCAGCAAGAUUUAUGUUGAUUUAAUAUUAAAUUAAUAUUGAUUGAGGUUAAAUGACUAAAACAUGAAUAAAAUACAUAUUAUUAUGUACUUUUGGCAACUCUAUUUUUUUAUAAGCUUUAUGAAAAAUACAAUCUAACAAAUUCAUGGCUAGCAAUCUGCUUUAUUUAAAGAUCUCAUACGAGCUGCUUUGUCUACCUUCUCUUAAUUUGUUCAAACACUUUUUCAAUUCUUAAAUUAAAUUGGCUUUUUGCUUUUCCCUCAAGACAAUUGCACAUUAUUAGGGAGGUGGUGAAACAAGUACAAUUGCAAACAUCUGCUACUACAGUACAGUGAUGCCAUGAGCUGAUCUGCAACCAAUAUGACUAUCAGUACUACAAGUUCAUCUAAGGUCAUACUGUUUAACUGGAUAAAUGACCCUGAGAUUUCAUGCCAUCAUUAUGAGCUUACGACCCCAUUUUGAUUCCUCAGUAAAUUUAUUAUAUGAAGGGAGAAACUAUGUGAAGUCCAGUAAGUGUUCAAAACUGUUUUCCCAAUGUGCUUUUUAUUACUUAUGACAUAUGCUUGAUUAUUUAUAGCAUAUGAUAUUUGCAGUACUGAUACCUAGACCAUUGAAGAUCUUUUUUGUUCUUUUUAUUGUGAAUAUUAAAAGUGAUUGUUUUGUAAUUGCUAACUACUGUCUGUUAUAGCCUGGCAACUUGUGUACAAUCCUACAACAAAAUCUGCAUAUAGACAUAAAAACACAUAGAAAGAAGACUUCACAACUAAUUACAGAAGUUGAUUAUACAAAAAAUUCUAAAACGUUCCCAGGCACCCAGCUGUCACUGUAGUCAGAGAAGCUAUGUACCUACUUCCCUUUAAGGAUCAAGUUCUUUGUUUUGUUUGGACAGAUCUUCAGUUGUUGUAAAUUGGAAUCGCUUCAUUGUCUUCAAAAGGGUAGUAACAAUUUAUACCAGCUUAACAUGUGUUGUUUAAUCUCAGUACAGAUAGAGGAAGGUGGGGGGGGAAAAAAAAAAGAAAAGGAACACUCCACAUCAACUUUUAAAAAAGAGCCUUUCAUCUUAAAACAAGGCAAUGGAAAACAUAAUGCAAGUUAUAAAUAGGGUCAUUAAUUUGAUAUACAAUGCUCUGGCUGCAUACUCCAUUAAGUAAGUGUCCGUAUUUACUUUGCUGCAACUAUGCUACGAACUAUGUGUACCUUUUCAUCAUACCAUAUUAGUUGUGUGUUUCAGACUUAGUUAAAAUACAGUUUUUAUAUUUGUGAAGUGCCAAGUUGAUAUUGUAAUGACUUGCUUUAAAAUAAAGAAAUUUCUUAGAUUUGAUUCUGAAUCUACUUGAUCUAUGCAAAUUUAGAAAUUUGACUCAAAUAAUGUCAAAUUCUACUUUGGAUGGAAAAAGAGGAAAAGCUUGUGAAAAAAAUAUGGAAUUGAUAAAAAGACAUUACUAAAGCACAAAUAAAGAAUACACGAAAAAAAGCAGUCCACAGAAAACAGGGGAAAAAGAAAAAUGUUAGGGUUAGAUGAUAAUGUAAUGAAGGUAAAUAAAGUUUCAGCCUCAGAGGACAAAGGCCAAGGACACCCUCUCCACACUUGUGAUCAAAAAGACAGAUGAAGGAAAGACUAGCAAGAACCUCCAAGGUUUUUAACUUAUAAUUACUACUUCUAAAAAUUUUGGAGACAUCAGAGUUACCGUGCUUCCCACUCUGUUCAGUAAACAGUACACAAGAACCUGUAUCAUGGAAUACAAAUGUAAAAUUGUAUACUGCAAAUGUAUAUAAUACAAAUACAUUCAGAUUAGAUGCUUCAGUGUUCCUUUCUGGCCUAUUUUCACAUUUUCUUUUGAUCAGCUCAAUAGCAGUGAUUGUAGAGGAUGAAAAGUUGAACUAAGAGAAUGUUGUAAUAAGAUCCUCAUAAUUGACUUCCCAGUGGGGAGGUUACCUUUCCCCUCUCUAACUAAGGAUUUUAUAAAAUCUUACUUGCCGUUUUCUGUUUUUGUUUGUUUGUUUGUUUGUUUGUUUAUGUUGUUGGUGUAAUGGGUAAGUUGUCUGACAUGAAAUAGAAGAAAGUUUCCUUGUUUCUUGUUGAAUCUUUAACUGUUAUGUACAUAAGUAAACCAGAGAGAUUCCAUCAGGGACAUUCAUUAACAAUAUCAUUCACAGAAACAUAUUUUUAAUAGUUAAAGAAAGAUUUGGAACAUCUACAGAUCCAUAGUUAAGAGCAUAAACAUUUUCACACUAAGAAAUUGGAUGUAUAUAAUAUGCUUUCCAGGGUAGCAACUUUACUUCUUUAAUUCAUCCAAAGACUAGAAGAGAGCUCUGGUUUGUUGCAACUUGUGAAAGUAAUUAAAAUACUACUGAUGAAAGAUUAGCAUCUUUUCACUAGCAGCAUCUUUUUUGCUGAUAUUAAAAUUCAACAAUCUGGGCAUGCUACCUAUACCUCAAUAGAUGAAAUUAAAUUGGUCCAAAUGAGAAAA